rnacentral:rRNA from 1 species
GACGAACGCUGGCGGCGUGCUUAACACAUGCAAGUCGAACGGAAAGGCCCUGCUUUUGUGGGGUGCUCGAGUGGCGAACGGGUGAGUAGCACGUGAGUAACCUGCCCUUGACUUUGGGAUAACUUCAGGAAACUGGGGCUAAUACCGGAUAGGAGCUCCUGCUGCAUGGUGGGGGUUGGAAAGUUUCGGCGGUUGGGGAUGGACUCGCGGCUUAUCAGCUUGUUGGUGGGGUAGUGGCUUACCAAGGCUUUGACGGGUAGUCGGCCUGAGAGGGUGACCGGCCACAUUGGGCCUGAGAUACGGCCCAGACUCCUACGGGAGGCAGCAGUGGGGAAUAUUGCACAAUGGGCGGAAGCCUGAUGCAGCAACGCCGCGUGCGGGAUGACGGCCUGCGGGUUGUAAGCCGCUUUCGCCUGUGACGAAGCGUGAGUGACGGUAAUGGGUAAAGAAGCACCGGCUAACUACGUG